GUAGGUGGCAAGCGUUGUCCGGAAUUAUUGGGCGUAAAGCGCGCGCAGGCGGUUCUUUAAGUCUGAUGUGAAAGCCCACGGCUCAACCGUGGAGGGUCAUUGGGAACUGGAGAACUUGAGUACAGAAGAGGAAAGCGGAAUUCCACGUGUAGCGGUGAAAUGCGUAGAGAUGUGGAGGAACACCAGUGGCGAAGGCGGCUUUCUGGUCUGUAACUGACGCUGAGGCGCGAAAGCGUGGGGAGCAAACAGGGAUUAGAUACCCUGGUAGUCCACGCCGUAAACGAUGAGUGCUAAGUGUUAGGGGGUUUCCCGCCCCUUAGUGCUGCAGCUAACGCAUUAAGCACUCCGCCUGGGGAGUACGGCCGCAAGGCUG
rnacentral:rRNA from 1 species